rnacentral:piRNA from 1 species
CGUUUCCCAUUAUAGAUCCUC